rnacentral:pre_miRNA from 1 species
UUCCUUUUUUCUUUGUUCGGAAUUACUUGUCGUAGAAAUGGAUGUAUCUAGACGUAUUUUAGUUCUAGAUACAUCCAUUUUCGAGAAAUAAUUCCGAACGGAGGGAGUACAUA